AUUGAACGCUGGCGGCAUGCUUUACACAUGCAAGUCGAACGGUAACAGGCCGCAAGGUGCUGACGAGUGGCGAACGGGUGAGUAAUGCAUCGGAACGUGCCCAGUCGUGGGGGAUAACGCAGCGAAAGCUGUGCUAAUACCGCAUCCGAUCUAUGGAUGAAAGCGGGGGACCGUAAGGCCUCGCGCGAUUGGAGCGGCCGAUGUCAGAUUAGGUAGUUGGUGGGGUAAAGGCCCACCAAGCCAACGAUCUGUAGCUGGUCUGAGAGGACGACCAGCCACACUGGGACUGAGACACGGCCCAGACUCCUACGGGAGGCAGCAGUGGGGAAUUUUGGACAAUGGGCGCAAGCCUGAUCCAGCAAUGCCGCGUGCAGGAAGAAGGCCUUCGGGUUGUAAACUGCUUUUGUACGGAACGAAACGAUCUGGGUUAAUACCCUGGGCUAAUGACGGUACCGUAAGAAUAAGCACCGGCUAACUACGUGCCAGCCGCCGCGGUAAGAC
rnacentral:rRNA from 1 species